rnacentral:lncRNA from 1 species
CAGCUCUCGAUCAGAUGGAUAGACCAGCGUGUGGAGACUCACAUCAUGAACUUUUGCUUCAAGAACUACUGUAGGAACAUACCAGCAAAGCUGAGAGAACCCACAGACCCUUUGAAGGAACUUGAUCACUGCUGUAUGCUCCCUGGGACACCAAAAAACUAGACCUGGGGGAUUUUAGAACAGGGCUUUCAAGGUAAUGAAGGAAGAGAAUCUUCUUUGGACUUCUUUUUGCUCCAGAUGCGGAGAAGGCAACUUCCCGGAGUCUCUACCAGUGAGAAGGCUACAGAAUCAUGGGCAGAUAAGGUCUCGCUCUGUGGCUAUAGCUCACUGCAGCCUCAAAUUCCUGCGCUCAAGUAAUCCUCCCACCUCAGCUUCCCAAGUAGAUGGGACUACAGCUCCAAAUAACCCCGUGAUUUUGGAUGAUUGAUUAUGGGAAUGCUGCUUUCACUGUACAUCCAAGCUCUCCUGGCCUCAGCGGAUAAGUAUAUGAGAGCACAGUUUUCCUGGUGUCAGGAUAUGAAGAUCCAGGGAACAAAGAACCUCAAAGAACAACACCUGGAUUGUCAAGGUUUGGCCAGCAGUGCACUUUCUCCAACCUUACAGUCAUACGCAAGUUGUGGUUCUCCUGUCCAGCCUGCCACCACUGGACCAUCCCUGUAUACAUUCCUUCUCCCUUUGAAGAAAUCCACAAAAGAAAAAGCAAAAUACUGACAAGUUUUCAAAGCCAUGAUUUACAGGAAUGAAUUCUGAAAAGCAAGUGGCUAACAUCCGAGUUCAUCAUCAAAUAAUAUUUCUAAAGCACCCUCUAGUGUCUGGCCCCAAGCCAGAUGAUUCAACGCCUGGAGAAGCUACAGACUUUUUAAAAGUAAAAUAGACUCAUGUCUGCUCAUGAGAAGCAAGUCAGCGUCAUUUAGGAUGCCUUAGGAAUGUCUCUCUAAAUAAGGAUUAAAAAUGGAUUGCUGUAGAAAAAGUAAUACAAGUACAAACACUAAUAAUAUUGAAUGCAAUUUAAAUUCCAUUUUAAAAUAGAUAAUAGGGUUUAAAAUAACAUGUUGAAAAUUACACUGGAAUUAGCAAAAUUUAAAAUCUUAGGAAGAAAAAUCCUAAUUUGUAUGUGAAAAUGUUUUGAACUGAGGAAAAUUAAGACUAGCAAGAGUAGAUAGGGGUUGUCUAGUAGGAAUGUUAGACCCAUCAGCCAUCUGAUUAUGCUGCGACUGAUACUAGCGUGUAGUUUUCACCCAGUAAAUUAUCAAGUGGUGCAGUAGAAAAAGCAUGGUAUGUAGAAUCAUAAGACUCAUAGUCUGGGGUCACCUCUACUACUCACUUGGCCAUGUGGUUUGGAACACAUCACAAAAGAUUUAUGAGCCUUCGCUUCUUCACAUCUAAAAUCGUGAUUAUUUUGCCAACUCCAUGGAAUUGUUUAGACUUUAGAGGAUUACAUAGGAUACAAUGGACUAGUUCCUUGAACAAGUACUUGCCCCCAAAAUGUUACCAUUUUUUCUGGUUGUGUGACUGAUUUUGCAAUCAGCAAUUUAAUAAUAAUGCAUUCAACAGGUUUAUAAUAUGCAUUCAAUGUGACUCUUGCAUAUAUCUCAUAAAAACAAAUUUGAAUAUUUUUCUCAUUUUAUCACUCACAUAUCUUUGAGAAUGGGAUCAUAGUUUUAUUUUGAUAAUGAAGUAAUAGAGUCAAUUCCUGAACAGGCUAGUUGACUUUAAUGAGAAAUACCCAUUUAUUCACUCAUUCAUUUCAUUUUCAACUCUUAAAUCCAUAAUGGCCCCUUCACUAACUGCACUAACUGGGGUUCUUAUAUUAAUAAGAUGGACCAGAUGCUUCUAUCACCUCCAAAAAAUCUUUGUAGGCAGAGCAAUAAAGAGUACUGAAUCAUUUUAAGAAGUCGCAUAGACAAUGACUUUUGACCAUGGAAGGACUGGGCUUGAUCAAGCAAAUUCUAUUUCAAAGUUUUACUUGCAAGGUUAUUUAUUACUGUGUGGAAUCUCACUCCUGUGGCUGGGGUCAAGAAAAAUGGGGACACAGGUGUCUGCCUAUUUGCACAGGCAUUAAAAAGUGUUGUAAAAUGAGCUUCAGCCUUUUAAGUUACUGUCUUCUUCUUUAUAAUAAUAAUCUUUUCCAUUUUACAAGGUCUAUAUUAUUUUUAGGUAAGAAAACACUGUAGAGUUCAUGUUUUAUUGUUCCUUGCAGUUAUAUAAAUUAUAUUUGGCCAAAACAAAUGUAAUUCCUACUGUGUGAACUGGGAACCCAAAAUGUUGAUUUUCCUCAAGUUAUAAACAAUGUGAAGAUAUGUUAUACUGGGUCACAAUUUUCCAGAGCAGAGCAAAAUAUAUAACUCAGUUUUAAUAACAAAACUGCAUAUAUCAUUAAAGUUUCCUACUCCACACAGAAUGUAUUAUAUUACUCUGCCCAGCAAGAGACAUCCUUUGUGUAGACCACAAUUUCUAAAAUACCAUUUGAUUGAAUAGAAAACAGGUUAGCCAUUUGUUAGUUUAAAAGAAAAUAUAAUGGUUAAAUGCUCAUGGACAUUCUGCUUUGUCUUUGCUAGUGAAUAUUAAAUUUCUUCUCACUAAGUUUAAAUGUCACAGAUUUUGUAAACAACAAGGUCUGG